rnacentral:rRNA from 1 species
UACAGAGGUCUCAACCGUUGUUCGGAUUUAUUGGGCGUAAAGGGUGCGUAGGCGGUUGCGUAAGUCGGGUGUGAAAUCCCAGGGCUCAACCCUGGAACUGCAUUCGAUACUGCGUGGCUUGGGUACUGGAGAGGAGACUGGAAUUUACGGUGUAGCAGUGAAAUGCGUAGAUAUCGUAAGGAAGACCAGUGGCGAAGGCGAGUCUCUGGACAGUUACCGACGCUGAGGCACGAAGGCGAGGGGAGCAAACGGG